GACGAACGCUGGCGGCGUGCUUAACACAUGCAAGUCGAACGGACAGACAGAGAGCUUGCUCUCUUGAAGUUAGUGGCGAACGGGUGAGUAACGCGUAAUCAACCUGCCCUUCAGAGGGGGAUAACAACGGGAAACCGUUGCUAAUACCGCGUACGAUUCAUAGGCGGCAUCGCUUGUGAAUGAAAGGUGGCCUCUAUAUAUAAGCUAUCGCUGAAGGAGGGGAUUGCGUCUGAUUAGCUAGUUGGAGGGGUAACGGCCCACCAAGGCAAUGAUCAGUAGCCGGUCUGAGAGGAUGAACGGCCACACCGGGACUGAGACACGGCCCGGACUCCUACGGGAGGCAGCAGUGGGGAAUAUUGGACAAUGGGGGCAACCCUGAUCCAGCCAUGCCGCGUGUGUGAAGAAGGCCUUUUGGUUGUAAAGCACUUUAAGCAGUGAAGAAGACUCUAUGGUUAAUACCCAUAGACGAUGACAUUAGCUGCAGAAUAAGCACCGGCUAACUCUGUGCCAGCAGCCGCGGUAAUACAGAGGGUGCAAGCGUUAAUCGGAAUUACUGGGCGUAAAGCGAGCGUAGUGGCUUGAUAAGUCAGAUGUGAAGUCCCCGGGCUUAACCUGGGAACUGCAUCUGAUACUGUUAGGCUAGAGUAGGUGAGAGGGAGGUAGAAUUUCAGGUGUAGCGGUGAAAUGCGUAGAGAUCUGAAGGAAUACCGAUGGCGAAGGCAGCCUCCUGGCAUCAUACUGACACUGAGGUUCGAAAGCGUGGGUAGCAAACAGGAUUAGAUACCCUGGUAGUCCACGCCGUAAACGAUGUCUACUAGUCGUUGGGGAACUUGAUUCCUUAGUGACGCAGCUAACGCAAUAAGUAGACCGCCUGGGGAGUACGGCCGCAAGGUUAAAACUCAAAUGAAUUGACGGGGGCCCGCACAAGCGGUGGAGCAUGUGGUUUAAUUCGAUGCAACGCGAAGAACCUUACCUGGUCUUGACAUAUCUAGAAUCCUGCAGAGAUGCGGGAGUGCCUUCGGGAAUUAGAAUACAGGUGCUGCAUGGCUGUCGUCAGCUCGUGUCGUGAGAUGUUGGGUUAAGUCCCGCAACGAGCGCAACCCUUUUCCUUAGUUACCAGCGGUUUGGCCGGGGACUCUAAGGAUACUGCCAGUGACAAACUGGAGGAAGGCGGGGACGACGUCAAGUCAUCAUGGCCCUUACGACCAGGGCUACACACGUGCUACAAUGGUAGGUACAGAGGGCAGCUACACAGCGAUGUGAUGCGAAUCUCAAAAAGCCUAUCGUAGUCCAGAUUGGAGUCUGCAACUCGACUCCAUGAAGUCGGAAUCGCUAGUAAUCGCGGAUCAGAAUGCCGCGGUGAAUACGUUCCCGGGCCU
rnacentral:rRNA from 1 species